GACGAACGCUGGCGGCGUGCCUAAUACAUGCAAGUCGAGCGAAGCGGCGGGUGGGUGAGUAACGCGUGGGUAACCUGCCCGUAAGUCUGGGAUACCAUUUGGAAACAGAUGCUAAUACCGGAUACUGAAGGAUGGACGUGCGAUGCAUUAGCUAGUGGGUAAGGAAACGGCUUACAAAGGCGAUGAUGCAUAGCCGAGUUGAGAGAGUGAUCGGCCACAUUGGGACUGAGACACGGCCCAAACUCCUACGGGAGGCAGCAGUGGGGAAUCUUCCACAAUGGACGAAAGUCUGAUGCAGCAACGCCGCGUGAGUGAAGAAGGUUUUCGGAUUGUAAAGCUCUGUUGUUGGUGAAGCGGUAAUCAACCAGAAAGUAACGGCUAACUCCGUGCCAGCAGCCGCGGUAAUUC
rnacentral:rRNA from 1 species